AUUGUGACUAAUAUUUAUUCAAAUUGCAUGAUGUGUUAAAUUUGUUGAACAAAUAACAAAGUUAGCCUUAACAAGAAUUGAAUAAUUUAUUUAUUAUAGGGUGAAGAAGGGCCUCCUGGAGGUGAUGGACGUCCUGGAGAUGAUGGUCGUAAAGGAGUCAACGGUGAUAAAGGAAAUACUGGGUCUUCGGGGGGCCCUGGCCCUAGGGGACGUCAGGGAGUUCCUGGGGAACCUGGCCAUACUGGAGAGCCUGGUCAAAUGGGGUUGCCAGGUGAUGAUGGAGUGCCAGGGUGUGAAGGAAGCAAAGGAGUGAAAGGAGAUGAAGUAAGGUUUAC